GCCAGAGUGGUGGAAUUGGUAGACACAGCGGACUCAAAAUCCGCCGAGGUUCCCUCUUGUCGGUUCGAGUCCGACCUCUGGCA
rnacentral:tRNA from 1 species